CCUACGGGAGGCAGCAGUAGGGAAUAUUGCUCAAUGGGGGAAACCCUGAAGCAGCAACGCCGCGUGGAGGAUGAAGGUUUUCGGAUUGUAAACUCCUUUUGUUAGAGAAGAUAAUGACGGUAUCUAACGAAUAAGCACCGGCUAACGCCGUGCCAGCAGCCGCGGUAAUACGGAGGGUGAAAGCGUUACUCGGAAUCACUGGGCGUAAAGAGAGCGUAGGCGGGAUAGCAAGUCAGAUGUGAAAUCCAAUGGCUUAACCAUAGAACUGCAUUUGAAACUGUUAUUCUGGAGUAUGGGAGAGGUAGGUGGAAUUCUUGGUGUAGGGGUAAAAUCCGUAGAGAUCAAGAGGAAUACUCAUUGCGAAGGCGACCUGCUAGAACAUAACUGACGCUGAUGCGCGAAAGCGUGGGGAGCAAACAGGAUUAGAUACCCUUGUAGUC
rnacentral:rRNA from 1 species